AAGAUGACGUGGAAGGAGGAGGGUUAAAAUUGGAUUUGGAUAAUGGGGUGCCAUGGCACAUGACAUUUUCUUCAUUAAAAAUAUUAACUUUUGUCAACUUUAACCAAAGUAUAAUUGUAGGGGUAUAUUUGGACCCAAAGUAUAACGACGGGUAUAUUUGACCCUUUUUCGAUAGUACAGGGGUAUAUUUGGCCCUUUUCUGUUUAAAAAUUAGUGUUGCUCUUAUCAUAUGAAAGUUGAGUUUUUUCUUUUUUGAUGAUUUGUUUUUUAUUUGGAUUAUUCAUUUCCCAUGUGGGUUUUUAUGUUUAUCAAAGUAACUGGCUUUGUCCCAGUUCAUUUUAUCAUUUUGUUGAAAGAUGGUUAAUUGGUGCUUAAUCAAUUCUUUUCUCUUUGUAGUAAUUCUAUGCAAGAAUGCAGUAGAAAUAAUAAACCCGUGUUAAUUAUCCAUUUUACUUCUUUCUGUUAGUUUAGGUUUAGCAGCAGCUGGACAAGGAUGAUUCUUCAAAUUGAUGUUGUUUUUCACUUGUAAUUCUUUAUAUUCCUCAGAUCAACACUCGCGAUGUUGUUCAAGUAGUAUAAAGUUUAUGCAGAUUGUUGGAAUCCUCCUUUAUGGCCAGAAUCCAUUGUCGUGGUCUACCAGGGUGCAAAUUGCUCUUGAUGCAGCUAAAGGAAUCGAAUACAUCCAUGAGCAUACUGUUCCUUUAUAUAUCCACCGCAAUAAAAUCCGCUAAUAUUUUGAUUGACAAAGGCUUUCAUGCAAAGGUAGCCGACUUUGGACUUACAAAGCUAACUGAAGUUGGAAGUACCUCUUUUCAUACACGACUUGUGGGUACUUUUGGUUACAUGCCUCCAGAUUCAUAUGAACCAGAAAGUUUUCAUACUCUCUAUUAAGAUGGUCACUUUAUGAGCUAAUAUCUGCUAAAGAAGCUAUUGUCAAGACACAUGAAGUUAUAACAGAGUCAAAGGGACUUCUUGCAUUGUUUGAGGAUGUUCUUCAGCAGAGUGGUGCUAGGGAAGGGUUAUGCAAAGUGGUUGAUCCCAAUCUCGGAGAUGACUAUCCGCUAUGUUCAGUCUGCAAGGUAGCUCAGCUUGCCUAGGCUUGCACACAUGAAAAUCCUCAGUUGAGACCUAGCAUGAGGUCCAUUGUUGUAGCUUUAAUGACUCUAUCAUCCUCAACUGAAGAUUGGGAUAUUGGCUCCUUUUAUGAAAACCAAGGCCUCGUCCAUCUCAUGUCAGGAAGAUAGUAAUAUCAGCUAGUGUUCAUUCAAGCAUUCUCAAAGGCCUAAGAACCUUUUGUGCUUGGAAGUAUUAUCUGUUUAUAAUACUCAUUAGUAUUUUACCUUCUUUUAAAACUUUUUGUUCAUCUUACUUUUCUGUAAUUCUUUUUCGUUGUUUUGUAAAGGUUAUGUUUUUCAAGCAGAGGAGUUUGGAAAUUAGAACUUGAUCACAUUUGUACAACCUUUUUUAUUAACAUGAUCAUAUAGAAGAAACAAGAAGUAAGCCCAAAUGAUUGUAUCAUUAUACCCCUCUGGCAAGCAUCAAAUAAAAUAUGAUGGUUCCUAGUCCUAA